rnacentral:ncRNA from 1 species
GUGUUCAAUUAAAGGAGAGAUGGUUGUCAUAUACCACAACAGGGUCGGGAACAGCCUUUCCCUGUUAAUAAUACGGAUAUUUUUUU